rnacentral:lncRNA from 1 species
UGCUCAGAGAGGGGAUAGUGUUCAGGGUAAACAAGCAACCAAUGAAUGAAUCUCAGUAUCAGAGUGGUCCUGAUGAUUGCAACAUCCAUACACAUUCCAGGUGAAACCCACUGCCUCUCACAUAGACUCACUGCAAGGCAAGAGACUCCUUCUACCAACCACUUGAAAAACAAGAGCUGAGCAGGAAGGAAGUAUGCCACACCCAUCCCAAGAGCCAACUGUGGCCAACUUGCUUCAAAUUAUAGAAGACAUUUUUCUUCAUAUGUUUUUCUGGAGAAAGUUAUUUUGGUGGGAAUGUAUUAGUAUCCUGCAGUCAGCCAUCAUGGAUCUGAAGUGUCCACACCACAAACACCAGUGAACAGUUCAAGUAAGGAUGCCAACCCUCCACCCAGUGACCAAUGGAAAAAUCUUAAAUAAAAUGAAAUAUUUUCAUGAAAGCCA